GCCUGGAUGGUGGAAUUGGUAGACACACAGGACUUAAAAUCCUGUGUCCGUAAGGACGUGCGGGUUCGACCCCCGCUCCAGGUA
rnacentral:tRNA from 1 species